GAGUUUGAUCGUGGCUCAGAUUGAACGCUGGCGGCAGGCCUAACACAUGCAAGUCGGGCGGUAGAGAGAAGCUUGCUUCUCUUGAGAGCGGCGGACGGGUGAGUAAUGCCUAGGAAUCUGCCUGGUAGUGGGGGAUAACGCUCGGAAACGGACGCUAAUACCGCAUACGUCCUACGGGAGAAAGCAGGGGACCUUCGGGCCUUGCGCUAUCAGAUGAGCCUAGGUCGGAUUAGCUAGUUGGUGAGGUAAUGGCUCACCAAGGCGACGAUCCGUAACUGGUCCUGAGAGGAUGAUCAGUCACACUGGAACUGAGACACGGUCCAGACUCCUACGGGAGGCAGCAGUGGGGAAUAUUGGACAAUGGGCGAAAGCCUGAUCCAGCCAUGCCGCGUGUGUGAAGAAGGUCUUCGGAUUGUAAAGCACUUUAAGUUGGGAGGAAGGGCAGUAAAUUAAUACUUUGCUGUUUGACGUUACCGACAGAAUAAGCACCGGCUAAACUCU
rnacentral:rRNA from 1 species